UGGGGAAUCUUCCGCAAUGGACGAAAGUCUGACGGAGCAACGCCGCGUGAGUGAUGAAGGAUUUCGGUCUGUAAAGCUCUGUUGUUUAUGACGAACGUGCAGUGUGUGAACAAUGCAUUGCAAUGACGGUAGUAAACGAGGAAGCCACGGCUAACUACGUGCCAGCAGCCGCGGUAAUACGUAGGUGGCGAGCGUUGUCCGGAAUUAUUGGGCGUAAAGAGCAUGUAGGCGGCUUAAUAAGUCGAGCGUGAAAAUGCGGGGCUCAACCCCGUAUGGCGCUGGAAACUGUUAGGCUUGAGUGCAGGAGAGGAAAGGGGAAUUCCCAGUGUAGCGGUGAAAUGCGUAGAUAUUGGGAGGAACACCAGUGGCGAAGGCGCCUUUCUGGACUGUGUCUGACGCU
rnacentral:rRNA from 1 species